UACGAAGGGUGCAAGCGUUACUCGGAAUUACUGGGCGUAAAGCGUGCGUAGGUGGUUCGUUAAGUCUGAUGUGAAAGCCCCGGGCUCAACCUGGGAACUGCAUUGGAUACUGGCGAGCUGGAGUGCGUGAGGGGUGACCGGAACGAGUGGUGUAGCGGUGAAAUGCGUAGAUAUCACUCGGAAGGCCAACGGCGAAGGCAGGUCACUGGUGCGCAACUGACGCUGAGGCACGAAAGCGUGGGGAGCAAACAGG
rnacentral:rRNA from 1 species